rnacentral:rRNA from 1 species
AACGAACGCUGGCGGCAUGCCUAACACAUGCAAGUCGAACGAGACCUUCGGGUCUUGUGGCGCCUGGGUGCGUAACGCGUGGGAACCUGCACUUAGGUUCGGCAUAACUCUCAGACAGGGGUGCCAAUACCGGAUCAUGUCUUCGGACCAAUUAUAUAUUGAGCUUGGUUGUGCCCGCGUUGGAUUAGCUUGUUGGUAGGGUAAAAGCCUACCAAGGCGACGAUCCAUAGCUGGUCUGAGAGAAUGAUCAGCCACACUGGGACUGAGACACGGCCCAGACUCCUACGGGAGGCAGCAGUGGGUAAUGGAGCACAAUGGGCGGAGGCCUGAUCCAGCAAUGCCGCGUAAGUGAUGAAGGCCGUAGAGUUGUAAAGCGCUUUUAACCGUGAUGAUAAUGACAGUACCGAGAGAAUAAGCUCCGGCUAACUCCGUG